GACCUGAAAUAAAGACUGCGUAAGCAUGGCUUGGAAAUGGCCGCAUGACCUCUAUAUCUGGAUUCCAACAUUUUUGCUCUGCCAUUCACCACUUGCCGCUUCAGCUCCAACCCUAGUCUAACUACACCCCUUCAGCCAGCCUGCCUUCAUCUGCCCAGCCAGACCCCGUCGCCCAUUCAUCAUUUGUUCAUUAAAAACUCUUUUUGCAUAUACUA